AUGGGACGCGCAACUCUGUUUC
rnacentral:miRNA from 1 species